GGGUCGUUAGCUCAGGACGUAGAGCAGCGGACUUUUAAUCCGUUGGUCACUGGUUCGAAUCCAGUACGACCCA
rnacentral:tRNA from 1 species